rnacentral:rRNA from 1 species
UAGGGAAUCUUCGGCAAUGGGGGCAACCCUGACCGAGCAACGCCGCGUGAGUGAAGAAGGUUUUCGGAUCGUAAAGCUCUGUUGUAAGUCAAGAACGGGUGUGAGAGUGGAAAGUUCACACUGUGACGGUAGCUUACCAGAAAGGGACGGCUAACUACGUGCCAGCAGCCGCGGUAAUACGUAGGUCCCGAGCGUUGUCCGGAUUUAUUGGGCGUAAAGCGAGCGCAGGCGGUUUGAUAAGUCUGAAGUUAAAGGCUGUGGCUCAACCAUAGUUCGCUUUGGAAACUGUCAAACUUGAGUGCAGAAGGGGAGAGUGGAAUUCCAUGUGUAGCGGUGAAAUGCGUAGAUAUAUGGAGGAACACCGGUGACGAAAGCGGCUCUCUGGUCUGUAACUGACGCUGAGGCUCGAAAGCGUGGGGAGCGAACAGGAUUAGAUACCCUGGUAGUCCACGCCGUAAACGAUGAGUGCUAGGUGUUGGAUCCUUUCCGGGAUUCAGUGCCGCAGCUAACGCAUUAAGCACUCCGCCUGGGGAGUACGACCGCAAGGUUGAAACUCUAAAGUGAAUU